rnacentral:lncRNA from 1 species
AACCUGUGGUGUGCAGGUUUAAGAUCUUAGCUUAUUUCUUCUGCUCUUCUUUCUAUCCUAGAAACAAAAGAAAACAAAAAUGGAGAAGGCAGAAAUGGUGGAAAGGUUCAGUAAAAAUAAAAGUGAGGAAAGGAGAGGAAUGAAGAAAACAACAACAAAAAUAUGUAAUUUUCACAUCAGAAGACAAGAUGGACAGGUCUUCAUGAAGAGAUGUCUUACUCAGAGAAACCAGAACAUGGCCUGCAAAUCUGAAUCAAUGUGAGAAGUUCAGAGAAAAAGAACAAUAUAGAGAUAAUUCAAUCUUUCCUGUCUUUGUGGCAAAUAAGAGGUUUUGAACAUGUAUGAGGUAAGCUGCUUAUUUUCACUCAUAAUUUUGGUAUUACAAUGUAAAUUUUUAUUAGGAUUUGAUUGCAAACAGAUCUAGAAGUAAGUGGAAAAAUGAGAGGGUUUCUCAGACACAAGGUUUAGAUAAGAGCGCCUUUGUCAUCUACAGGAAUGUGGCUUGUCAAAUAAGACUGAGCGUUUGUCUGUGCUGUGAACCAGCAGGAUGUUUUCAUCAGAGGAGGUUAGAAGGGGCAAACAAGCAGCACAGCAUGCAAAGCAGGUUCCUGGUGCCCACACAGGGAUCUGAGGAGUCCCUGUAGGGAUCUGGGGAGCACACCCGCCUGCUCUCAGCUUAAGCCCCACCUCAGCCUUGGCAUCCAUCUCCUUCUUUCAACAUGCCAGACAGCUCUGUAGAAAAUCAAGAGCAUGCAAACACCUCUGUCAGAAGUGCAUGCUGAUUUGGUUGUCCCCAGCUCAAUGGGAGUUCAUCCCCUGUGCCCAGUCAAGGAAUGGCUUUAGAAGAGAGAGCCUGCAGGGUUAGAAAGAUCUGGGCAAAACAGACAAUUGUGCAUAAUGAAUACUCCCUCUAGUAAAUCUCUUUGCUUUCCUCCUUUGCACUGCAGCAAGUUGAAACUUCCUACGAUAACUUUUGGUGCCUUAAACUACUGCCUAGAUCUUACUGCUGUGCUUCUGGUUCAGUGAGGAUGAGUAAGAGGCACUAGACAGAUAAACAAUAUCUCCAGGAUGCAUCAUUUUUGGUCAGAAUGCUCGUACUUUUGUACUUGUAUUUUCCUACUUUUCCUGUAAAGCUUGUAGGGUUUUGUAGAAAUUAGGUGAACAUCUCGGUAUUGAGGGCAGUUGAUGGAAAAGGAAGCAUUUCUCUCUCCUUUAUGCACGUUUUUCAGAGAAGAUAAACUAACUGUCCAUGUGUUUUAUUUUUCUUCACUGCAUUUAC